rnacentral:lncRNA from 1 species
CUGCUGAGGGCCCUCUCCGCGCUUUACCCUCGCCAGCUCCCGCGCGCGCUCCACGGCUGCUCUCCACGUCCUGCCCCGCGAUGGGGGCCUAACCUGUGCCCUCGCCAGCACCGUGAGCCCCGCCCAUGGGCUCCCCGAGGCCCGCCCAGCCCAACGUUUGAGAAAGUGAAGGAGGGCCCUGUCUCCCGCACUCCUCGGCUCUUUCCCGGAGUCCUUGGCCUCAGCAAGCGGCCAGCUCCCGGCCGCUGGGGGCAGCCACCUUGUGGGACAGGAGCCAGUACUGUCCAGCGGGAAUCGGAGCCACUUCCGGAGGAGGCCUCGUGUCGCCUAGCUGAAGGCGCGAGCAGGCGCGGCCAGGCUGAGCCGGACAGGCCGCAGGUAC